rnacentral:rRNA from 1 species
AGAGUUUGAUCCUGGCUCAGGACGAACGCUGGCGGCGCGCUUAACACAUGCAAGUCGUACGGGGUCCUUCGGGGCCCAGUGGCGAACGGGUGCGUAACACGUGAGCAACCUGCCUGUGGGUGGGGGAUAACCCGGGGAAACCCGGGCUAAUACCGCACGAUGUCUUCUGGCCGAUUGGCCGGAUGAUGAAAGGGGCUUAACGGCCUCGCCCAUAGAGGGGCUCGCGGCGUAUCAGCUAGAUGGUGAGGUAACGGCUCACCAUGGCUACGACGCGUAGCCGAUCUGAGAGGAUGAUCGGCCACAUUGGGACUGAGAUACGGCCCAGACUCCUACGGGAGGCAGCAGUGGGGAAUCUUGCGCAAUGGGCGAAAGCCUGACGCAGCGACGCCGCGUGCGGGAGGAAGCUCUUCGGGGUGUAAACCGCUGUCAGGAGGGAAGAAUGGGCACCCGAGGAAAUGCGGGUGUUUUGACGGUACCUCCAAAGGAAGCACCGGCUAACUCUGUGCCAGCAGCCGCGGUAAUACAGAGGGUGCGAGCGUUGUUCGGAAUUACUGGGCGUAAAGCGCGCGCAGGCGGCCCUUUAAGUCUACCCGUGAAAUGCCGGAGCUCAACUCCGUGCACGCCGGGGGAUACUGGAGGGCUGGAGACAGGUAGAGGCAGGCGGAAUUCCGGGUGUAGCGGUGGAAUGCGUAGAGAUCCGGAAGAACACCAGAGGCGAAGGCGGCCUGCUGGGCCUUGUCUGACGCUGAGGCGCGAAAGCGUGGGGAGCGAACAGGAUUAGAUACCCUAGUAGUCC